UUUCCCUUCUUUUUUUGUUUGCAGAAAUUAAACAAUUGACGCUGAUAAAAAUUAUUAAUAAUGACAAAAAAAUAACGGAAAUGAUGUUUUCACGACAGUUUUCAAACAUUGGCGAACAUUUUUAUUCAUCACGAUUCAAGUUCUAACAUAUUCUUAUCGUGUCUAUGCACCAAUACACGACCACCUGUCUGUGAAAAUGCCAAAGUAUGAAAUUUACAUUGCAUGUGUAACAACUAUUUAUAACAUGUAACAACAAGGUCUAUGUGUUCCGCAUAGACCUUUUUUAUAUUUAUAGAGAACAUCUAGGAUCAAGAUUUAUAAAAAUUGGAGAAAUUAGAUGUACAUAUACAAUGUAUUUUUCAUCGGCGCGUGAUAAGGAUAAAAAGAAAUGGUUAUUAUCUCGUAUAAAAAUGAGUUUAAUAAAUAACAGCCAACAACGAAAUAAAUAAGGCUCACACUUCGUAACUGUAUACAUAUAGUACGUGUAAUACGUACUCACGUAUAUACAAUACAUGGAACACGCAAUACGUUCAAUAUUGGAUACACAUAAAUACACGGUGGUGAAUUUUCGUAUACCGUUAAUAAAAUAUCUCGAAAUACUUGGUAUAAGUAUCGAUUGUAACAUUAUUUCAAAAUUUAAACAAUCGAGAUACAAGAAAAUAAUUUAUCGAUUCUAACAAGUAUCUACUUGUUAAAAAAAAAAAAAAAAGAAAGAAAGAAGAA